rnacentral:rRNA from 1 species
AAACUUUACAAUGCGGGAAACCGUGGUAAGGGGACACCGAGUGCUAGCAUCAUAUGCUGGCUGUCCAGGUGUACACCUGUAGCAAGGGCCGGCAAGACCGGUGCCAGCCGCCGCGGUAACACCGGCGGCCCGAGUGGUGAUCGUGAUUAUUGGGUCUAAAGGGUCCGUAGCCGGUUUGGUCAGUCCUCCGGGAAAUCUGAUAGCUCAACUAUUAGGUUUCGGGGAUACUGCCAGACUUGGAACCGGGAGAGGUAAGAGGUACUACGGGGGUAGGAGUGAAAUCUUGUAAUCCCUGUGGGACCACCUGUGGCGAAGGCGUCUUACCAGAACGGUUCGACGGUGAGGGACGAAAGCGGGGGGCACGAACCGGAUUAGAUACCCGGGUAGUCCUAGCCGUAAAGAUGCUCGCUAGGUGUCACAUGGUGCCG